AAACUUGAGAGUUUGAUCAUGGCUCAGAACGUACGCUGGCGGCACGCCUAACACAUGCAAGUCGAACGAAGUAGCAAUACUUAGUGGCAGACGGGUGAGUAACAUGUAGGUAUCUGCCCUUUGGCCUGGAAUAACACGAGGAAACUUGUGCUAAUACCGGAUAAGUCUUUACAGAGAAAGCUUUAUGCACCAUUGGAUGAGCCUGCACUUGAUUAGUUUGUUGGUGGGGUAAUGGCCUACCAAGACUGUGAUCAAUAGCUGAUUUGAGAGGAUGAUCAGCCACAUUGGGACUGAGACACGGCCCAAACUCCUACGGGAGGCAGCAGUGGGGAAUCUUGCACAAUGGAGGAAACUCUGAUGCAGCGAUGCCGCGUGAGUGAAGAAGGCCUUUGGGUUGUAAAGCUCUUUCGUCGGGGAAGAAAAUGACUGUACCCGAAUAAGAAGGUCCGGCUAACUUCGUGCCAGCAGCCGCGGUAAUACGAAGGGACCUAGCGUAGUUCGGAAUUACUGGGCUUAAAGAGUUCGUAGGUGGUUGAAAAAGUUAGUGGUGAAAUCCCAGAGCUUAACUCUGGAACUGCCAUUAAAACUUUUCAGCUAGAGUAUGAUAGAGGAAAGCAGAAUUUCUAGUGUAGAGGUGAAAUUCGUAGAUAUUAGAAAGAAUACCGAUUGCGAAGGCAGCUUUCUGGAUCAUUACUGACACUGAGGAACGAAAGCAUGGGUAGCGAAGAGGAUUAGAUACCCUCGUAGUCCAUGCCGUAAACGAUGUGUGUUAGACGUUGGAAAUUUAUUUUCAGUGUCGCAGGGAAACCGAUAAACACACCGCCUGGGGAGUACGACCGCAAGGUUAAAACUCAAAUGAAUUGACGGGGACCCGCACAAGUAGUGGAGCAUGUGGUUUAAUUCGAAGAUACGCGCAGAACCUUACCAACACUUGACAUGUUCGUCGCGACUCUAAGAGAUUAGAGUUUUCGGUUCGGCCGGACGAAACACAGGUGCUGCAUGGCUGUCGUCAGCUCGUGUCGUGAGAUGUUGGGUUAAGUCCCGCAACGAGCGCAACCCUCACUUUUAGUUGCCAUCAUUAAGUUGGGCACUCUGAAAGAACUGCCAGUGAUAAGCUGGAGGAAGGUGGGGAUGACGUCAAGUCCUCAUGGCCCUUACGUGUUGGGCUACACACGUGCUACAAUGGUAUCUACAACAGGAAGCAAAACUGCGAAGUUAAGCAAAUCCCUAAAAGAUACCUCAGUUCGGAUUGCACUCUGCAACUCGAGUGCAUGAAGCUGGAAUUACUAGUAAUCGUGGAUCAGCGUGCCACGGUGAAUGCGUUCCCGGGUCUUGUACACACCGCCCGUCACACCAUGGGAGUUGGUUCUACCUUAAGGCAAGGUUUAAAACCCUUGACCACGGUAUAGUCAGCGACUGGGGUGAAGUCGUAACAAGGUAGCCGUAGGGGAACCUGCGGCUGGAUUACCUCCUUU
rnacentral:rRNA from 1 species